GAUGAACGCUAGCGAUAGGCCUAACACAUGCAAGUCGAGGGGCAGCACAGAGUAGCAAUACUUUGAUGGCGACCGGCGCACGGGUGAGUAACACGUAUGCAACCUACCUACAUCAGGGGAAUAACCCGGAGAAAUUCGGACUAAUACCGCAUAAUACAGGGAUGCCGCAUGGCAAUAUUUGUUAAAGAUUUAUCGGAUGUAGAUGGGCAUGCGUUCCAUUAGCUUGUUGGUGAGGUAACGGCUCACCAAGGCAACGAUGGAUAGGGGAACUGAAAGGUUUGUCCCCCACACAGGAACUGAGACACGGACCAGACUCCUACGGGAGGCAGCAGUGAGGAAUAUUGGUCAAUGGACGAGAGUCUGAACCAGCCAAAUCGCGUGAAGGAAGACUGCCCUACGGGUUGUAAACUUCUUUUGUACAGGAAUAAAAGACAUUACGUGUAAUGUAUUGCAUGUACUGUACGAAUAAGCAUCGGCUAACUCCGUGCCAGCAGCCGCAGUAA
rnacentral:rRNA from 1 species